rnacentral:rRNA from 1 species
UACGAAGGGGGCUAGCGUUGCUCGGAAUCACUGGGCGUAAAGCGCACGUAGGCGGCUUCUUAAGUUAGAGGUGAAAGCCCGGGGCUCAACCCCGGAAUUGCCUUUAAGACUGCAUCGCUAGAAUUGUGGAGAGGUAAGUGGAAUUCCGAGUGUAGAGGUGAAAUUCGUAGAUAUUCGGAAGAACACCAGUGGCGAAGGCGACUUACUGGACACAUAUUGACGCUGAGGUGCGAAAGCGUGGGGAGCAAACAGG